rnacentral:rRNA from 1 species
AGUGAACGCUGGCGGUAGGCCUAACACAUGCAAGUCGAACGGCAGCACAGUAAGAGCUUGCUCUUACGGGUGGCGAGUGGCGGACGGUUGAGGAAUACCUCGGAAUCUACUUUUUCGUGGGGGAUAACGUAGGGAAACUUACGCUAAUAUCGCAUACGACCUACGGGUGAAAGCAGGGCAUCUUCCGACCUUGCGCGAGUUAAUGAGCUGAUGUCGGAUUAGCUAGUUGGAGGGGUAAAGGCCCACCAAGGCAGCGAUCCGUAGCUGGUCUGAGAGGAUGAUCAGCCACACUGGAACUGAGACACGGUCCAGACUCCUACGGGAGGCAGCAGUGGGGAAUAUUGGACAAUGGGCGCAAGCCUGAUCCAGCCAUACCGCGUGAGUGAAGAAGGCCUUCGGGUUGUAAAGCCCUUUUGUUGGGAAAGAAAAGCAGCAGGUGAAUACCCCGCUGUUCUGACGGUACCCAAAGAAUAAGCACCGGCUAACUUCGUG